AGCGUAUAUUAAAGUUGUUGCAGUUAAAAAGCUCGUAGUUGAAUUUCGGGGUUAGUAGGUUGGUCAUGCCUCUGGUAUGUACUGGUCUCACUGAUUCCUCCUUCCUGAUGAGCCGUAAUGCCAUUAAUUUGGCGUUGCGGGGAAUUUGGACUGUUACUUUGAAAAAAUUAGAGUGUUUAAAGCAAGCUAACGCUUGAAUACAUUAGCAUGGAAUAAUGAAAUAGGACGUUCGAUCCUAUUUUGUUGGUUUCUAGGAUUGACGUAAUGAUUAAUAGGGAUAGUUGGGGGCAUUAGUAUUCAAUUGUCAGAGGUGAAAUUCUUGGAUUUAUUGAAGACUAACUACUGCGAAAGCAUUUGCCAAGGAUGUUUUCAUUAAUCAAGAACGAAAGUUAGGGGAUCGAAGACGAUCAGAUACCGUCGUAGUCUUAACCAUAAACUAUGCCGACUAGGGAUCGGAUGAUGUUAAUUUUUUAAUGACUCAUUC
rnacentral:rRNA from 1 species